UUUUCGGAUCGUAAAGAAGUGGUUCUCCAUGAUCAGUCUUGGUCAUAAAAGAAAGAAAAAUAUCAGUAAAUCACAAUUUCCUUACAACGGCGCCAAAAUUUGAUGGGUGUUGAAUCUACCAAAAAUAUAUUACUAAUUAACCAAUAAAAUAAUAUUGUAAUAGCAGUAAUGCACAGUGAAUUAGAAACCAAUUUUCUUCCUCGACCAAUUUUAUAUAUU
rnacentral:lncRNA from 1 species